rnacentral:rRNA from 1 species
AGCGAACGCUGGCGGCAGGCCUAACACAUGCAAGUCGAACGAACCCUUCGGGGUUAGUGGCGGACGGGUGAGUAACACGUGGGAACGUGCCUUUAGGUUCGGAAUAACUCAGGGAAACUUGUGCUAAUACCGAAUGUGCCCUUCGGGGGAAAGAUUUAUCGCCUUUAGAGCGGCCCGCGUCUGAUUAGCUAGUUGGUGAGGUAAUGGCUCACCAAGGCUACGAUCAGUAGCUGGUCUGAGAGGAUGACCAGCCACAUUGGGACUGAGACACGGCCCAAACUCCUACGGGAGGCAGCAGUGGGGAACCUUGCGCAAUGGGCGAAAGCCUGACGCAGCCAUGCCGCGUGGAUGAUGAAGGUCUUAGGAUUGUAAAAUCCUUUCACCGGUGAAGAUAAUGGCUGUAGCCGGAGAAGAAGCCCCGGCUAACUUCGUGCCAGCAGCCGCGGUAAGAC